AACGUAGGACGCAAGCGUUAUCCGGAGUUACUGGGCGUAAAGCGCGGGCAGGCGGUUCUGCCAGUCUGAUGUGAAAUCUCCUCGCUCAACGGGGAGCAGCCAUUGGAAACUACAGAACUGGAGUCUGGCAGAGGUAGGCGGAAUUCCGGGUGGAGUGGUGAAAUGCGUAGAGAUCCGGAGGAACACCAGAGGCGAAGGCGGCCUACUGGGCCAGUACUGACGCUGAGCCGCGAAAGCUAGGGUAGCAAACGGG
rnacentral:rRNA from 1 species